rnacentral:rRNA from 1 species
AGUGAACGCUGGCGGUAGGCCUAACACGUCCAAGUCGAACGGCAGCACAGUAAGAGCUUGCUCUUACGGGUGGCGAGUGGCGGACGGGUGAGGAAUACAUCGGAAUCUACUUUUUCGUGGGGGAUAACGUAGGGAAACUUACGCUAAUACCGCAUACGACCUACGGGUGAAAGCAGGGGAUCUUCGGACCUUGCGCGAUUGAAUGAGCCGAUGUCGGAUUAGCUAGUUGGCGGGGUAAAGGCCCACCAAGGCGACGAUCCGUAGCUGGUCUGAGAGGAUGAUCAGCCACACUGGAACUGAGACACGGUCCAGACUCCUACGGGAGGCAGCAGUGGGGAAUAUUGGACAAUGGGCGCAAGCCUGAUCCAGCCAUACCGCGUGGGUGAAGAAGGCCUUCGGGUUGUAAAGCCCUUUUGUUGGGAAAGAAAAGCAGCAGGUUAAUACCCCGCUGUUCUGACGGUACCCAAAGAAUAAGCACCGGCUAACUUCGUG